rnacentral:rRNA from 1 species
AAGUAGCAAUACUUUGGUGGCGACCGGCGCACGGGUGAGUAACGCGUAUGCAACCCACUUAUCAGAGGGGAAUAACCCGGCGAAAGUCGGACUAAUACCUCAUAAAACAGGGACACCGCAUGGUGAUAUUUGUUAAAGAAAUUCGCUGAUAGAUGGGCAUGCGUUCCAUUAGGUAGUUGGUGAGGUAACGGCUCACCAAGCCGACGAUGGAUAGGGGAACUGAGAGGUUGGUCCCCCACACUGGUACUGAGACACGGACCAGACUCCUACGGGAGGCAGCAGUGAGGAAUAUUGGUCAAUGGGCGAGAGCCUGAACCAGCCAAGUCGCGUGAAGGAAGAAGGAUCUAUGGUUCGUAAACUUCUUUUGCAGGGGAAUAAAGUGCAGGACGUGUCCUGUUUUGUAUGUACCCUGAGAAUAAGGAUCGGCUAACUCCGUGCCAGCAGCCGCGGUAAUACGGAGGAUCCGAGCGUUAUCCGGAUUUAUUGGGUUUAAAGGGUGCGUAGGUGGUUUGAUAAGUCAGCGGUGAAAGUUUGCAGCUUAACUGUAAAAAUGCCGUUGAAACUGUCGGACUUGAGUGUAAAUGAGGUAGGCGGAAUGCGUGGUGUAGCGGUGAAAUGCUUAGAUAUCACGAAGAACUCCGAUUG